rnacentral:rRNA from 1 species
ACUCCUACGGGAGGCAGCAGUGGGGAAUAUUGCACAAUGGGCGCAAGCCUGAUGCAGCAACGCCGCGUGAGUGAUGAAGGCCUUCGGGUCGUAAAGCUCUGUCCUCAAGGAAGAAUAAAUAGACGGUACUUGAGGAGGAAGCCCGGCUAACUACGUGCCAGCAGCCGCGGUAAUACGUAGGAGGCAAGCGUUAUCCGGAAUCACUGGGCGUAAAGGGGUGCGUAGGCGGUUUUUCAAGUCAGAAGUGAAAGGCUAUGGCUCAACCAUAGUAAGCUUUUGAAACUGUUAAACUUGAGUGCAGGAGAGGAAAGUGGAAAUUCCUAGUGUAGAGGUGAAAUUCGUAGAUAUUAGGAGGAACACCAGUGGCGAAGGCGACUUUCUGGACUGUAACUGACGCUGAGGCACGAAAGCGUGGGGAGCGAAGAGAGUUAGAUACCCUGUAGCACAGAG